UGAGUCCUACGGGGGGCAGCAGUGGGGAAUAUUGGGCAAUGGGCGCAAGCCUGACCCAGCAACGCCGCGUGAAGGAAGAAGGCUUUCGGGUUGUAAACUUCUUUUCUCAGGGACGCAGCAAGUGACGGUACCUGAGGAAUAAGCCACGGCUAACUACGUGCCAGCAGCCGCGGUAAUACGUAGGUGGCAAGCGUUAUCCGGCUUUACUGGGUGUAAAGGGCGUGUAGGCGGGACUGCAAGUCAGAUGU
rnacentral:rRNA from 1 species